rnacentral:rRNA from 1 species
GAUGAACGCUAGCGGCAGGCCUAAUACAUGCAAGUCGAGGGGUAGAGCAGGCUUGCUUGCUUGAGACCGGCGCACGGGUGCGUAACGCGUAUGCAACCUACCCUUUUCUGGGGGAUAGCCCGAAGAAAUUCGGAUUAAUACCGCAUAAGACCACACGGUGGCAUCACCGAGGGGUCAAACAUCUAUGGGAGAAGGAUGGGCAUGCGUGCCAUUAGCUAGUUGGCGGGGUAACGGCCCAGCUAGGCGACGAUGGCUAGGGGAUCUGAGAGGAUGGCCCCCCACCCUGGGACUGGGACCCGGACGAGACUCCUACGGGAGGCGGCAGGAAGGAAUAUUGGGCGAUGGGCGAAAGCCUGAACCAGCCAUGCCGCGUGCAGGAAGACGGCCCUCUGGGUUGUAAACUGCUUUUAUUCGGGAAUAAACCUACCUUCGUGAAGGUAGCUGAAUGUACCGAAGGAAUAAGGAUCGGCUAACUCCGUGCCAGCAGCCGCAGUAAAAC